rnacentral:rRNA from 1 species
GAUGAACGCUGGCGGCGUGCCUAAUACAUGCAAGUCGAGCGAACAGACGAGGAGCUUGCUCCUCUGACGUUAGCGGCGGACGGGUGAGUAACACGUGGAUAACCUACCUAUAAGACUGGGAUAACUUCGGGAAACCGGAGCUAAUACCGGAUAAUAUAUUGAACCGCAUGGUUCAAUAGUGAAAGACGGUUUUGCUGUCACUUAUAGAUGGAUCCGCGCCGCAUUAGCUAGUUGGUAAGGUAACGGCUUACCAAGGCAACGAUGCGUAGCCGACCUGAGAGGGUGAUAGGCCACACAGGAACUGAGACACGGCCCAGACUCCUACGGGAGGCAGGAGGAGGGAAGCUUGCGCAAUGGGCGAAAGCCUGACGGAGCAACGCAGGGUGAGUGAUGAAGGUCUGCGGAUCGUAAAACUCUGUUAUUAGGGAAGAACAAAUGUGUAAGUAACUAUGCACGUCUGGACGGUACCUAAUCAGAAAGCCACGGCUAACUACGU